ACCAGCGUGGAGUAAUGGUUUGAGUGUUGGGCUCUGAAUCUGGAGACCAGGGUUCAAAUCCCAGCCAUGAAA